UUACGAAUGCCUACAGUAUUCAGUACAAUACUAUGCUGUACAGAUUUCUAGGUUAAGAGCAAUAGGCUAUUCCAUAUAGCCUUAGGUGUGUAGCAGGCUUAUGAAAGUACACUCUAUGACGUUGGCACAAUGAAAAAAAUCACCCAGCAAUGAACUUCUCAGAACAUAUCCCCAUUGUUAGGAGGCGCACGACUGUAUUUAGUCCAACAACUUGCUGAAAUGUGAUUCUACCAUUUUUCCAGUCAACUCCUAAGUUUUAAAUACCAUACAUCUGCCACCUUACCAGGCAGUUUCAACCAUAACAACAGAAGAAUACUCUUGGCAAAUAGAUCCCACUCUCUGAGGGUUGUGUUGGGGCUCAGAAAAUACUACCCCGAAGUAUGACACUUUGGCAUGCUGAAUACUUUGAACUAAAAGAGAUUGGAAGGCCUCAGAAGCAGCCUCGGAAGCAGUCUCUCCCUCUGAUCUCCUGCCCUUCUGUCUCCUGCCCAUCUUUCGUCCCAGAAGUGAGUCACAGAAACCAGAAUUCUUCCCCAAGCGCAGCUUAACUUGGACUCACCACCUAUCAAGUGCUCGACAGCCACGUGUGCAGUGGUUCCUACGUGGAGCAGCAUACAUCCAGAGAUGCAAAUAUUAAUGAGGACAGUGCUAGUAACAGAGUUGCUGAGCAAUCUAUGUCCCCUUGUAAGAACCAGUGCCCCAGGGGAAGAAACAGAACUCCACAAGGUAGCAGUGUGGGUGUAGUACCCGCAUGUGCCCAUGUUAUGGGAAUGUAGAUGGGGAGUGACCACCGCCAACAGAAGUGUGGCCAUCUUGCCCGAGAUGCCUGAGGACCUCCUAUUUUUAGAUGCUGCUGCCCAAGGCCUGUAUUUCAUGCUAUGGCUUUUGUCAUUUGAAUUAUCAGUAGCUGUCUCGGAGCUAUUACGCUUCACUGGGCCCUGGAGGAUAUUGUCUUAUACAGUCCACUGGGUUUUGGAUAUGCAGUCUGUGCCUUUCAUUGCCUUCCUGGAAAAUAAUAACUAAAC
rnacentral:lncRNA from 10 species